GGCACGAGGGGUAGGGGCAGGGAGAGGGAGAGAGAAGCUUAAGCAGGCUCCAUACUUACACAAAGCCCAACUCGGAGCUCAAUCCCACGACUCUGGGAUCAUGACCUGAGCCAAAAUCAGUCAGGCACUCAACCGAAUGAGGCACCCACGUGUCCCAAGUUUGAGUUUUGCUUAAAGAUAAAAUCUAAUUGGAAUGUAUUCAUUCCAUGGCUACUAAAUUCUGUUACAUAUGUAUAUAAAUUCUUUCAUAUGUAAUAAAUACAAGUUAAAUUACACCUAUUCAUGUUUUAAAGUAUGUACAGGUUAUAAAGUGAUAACCAUAAUCCUUUGUCUUACGAUAACAUAUUUCUUUACUCAAGAAGUACAGAGGAACCAGUAUUUGUUUUUUGACCAUCACUAAAAAUACUGCUCACAAAUAUUCCAAAAACAUUUCCCUAUUUAUCUAUUUUUUUUACUUAAACUGAAGCAGAAUCAUACUUAUAGAAGUAAAUAAUCACUAAAAACUAUCUAGUUUACAUUUUCCCCCAGUAUUAACCUGUUGUCACGAAAUUGCUGGCUAAUCUAUAAAUUAUCAUUUCAUUUCCCCCUCAGAGCUGGGCUGUUAACGGAAGGAGGGAGUCUCUCUUAAAAAAAAAAAAAAAAAUCUGACAAGUCACAUUUAUAAAAAAGCAUAACCUGUUGUUUUGCUUUGGCUCAAGAUGCCUGGUCUGAAAAUAUCAGAAUCCAGCCUCACAGUUUACCCUUAGUUUAGGACUAGGAGGAGGGUUGGGGAGGAGAAAAGUCCCUUGACUAGCAUAGCAGAUGAACUCGCUUGAAUACCCUCCACGAACUAUCCCAGUUGUCCAAAAUGGGCUGUUUUAGGCAGGACCACCUGACUCAGCAUACAUUUCUUCAAGCGGAGCAGCCUUUGAAGCCCGAGUCCGGUUCCGAGCAGGCAAGAGAACUGAGGCUUUCCGCUCCUUCGCACUCUCCCUCCUCCGCGUAGAUGUGAGGCCGGUGACCAGUGUCACCUGCUAGGGCGUCAACGCCACAGAGCUUCUGGAGAAAAGCCAGGGGAAGAGAAGGGCCCAAGGCAUCUCUCUGCGAAGACUUCUCUGGCUUGUUCUGGCCCGAGAGACUCACUAAAUGUUUGCCGGACAGACUCCCACCUGCUUGCUUUCCAGCACCUCGGGGAGGGUGCCGUCUGGACCUGAGCCACGUCAGCCCAGGGGCGCUGGAGGGAUCCUGAAUGACAACCCGCAGCGGGGUCCGCGCUGUGCAGGCUCAAAACCCCCGAGGCUGACGACGCGGCAGCGGCCCCUGGGCCCUGAUGCAGCGAUUUCAGAGGCCCCGCAAGAUCAACAGCUCAUCGUCAAGCCCCAACUAAGGUAGAAGGCUCAUCAGGGAAGGAACCGGGCCUUUAAUCUGCUGUUUUCCUCCACCGAUUCCACCGAGCACAGCGGUCCGGGCUCGUACCCAACACAGGCCGCCUUCCUGCCUGGAGGAUGGAGGACGACCCGGGCUGGACCCAGCAGGCGGGCACCUUUGGCCCGUCCCCACGACCCCCUGGGUGCAGCUGUGUGCCACUAGGGGCUGCCAGAUGCCACGUGACCAUCCCCAGGUGCCGGUGACUCUAUCCGCCGGGUGUGCAGUGAGCCACUCGCUCGGGUCUCCCUGCAGGCGGGCGGAUGGGGGGCCCCCUGGACGUUGCUCAAAGCUGGGGGUGGCCAUUCAAGGAGAGGGGCCCUCGGCAGCCCCCAGUCCAGCCUUGGGUCUGAGCACCCGUCACCCGCUCUGUCCUCCAUCCUUGGCCACCACGUGCCAGGUGUGACGCGGCCUUGUCCCCACAGGGAGAGACGGGCAGACGCUGCGGUCUGGGUGGCCCAUUCACCAUCCUCCCCGCCCGUAGCGGGGCCGAUGAUGCCUCGGGACGCAG